rnacentral:lncRNA from 1 species
UAGUCAUACACAGAAAUAUUAGUCCCCUCACAUAGUCAUACACACAUAGCACAUAUACUUGUCCAAAUCACGGUCCAUGUAGUUUCUUAUUCUUCUCCCUCCUCCCACCACCAAGGAAUCUCACCUUCCCCCUCCGUGUCCUCCACCCCCUUCAUUGUUUCCAUACCUAUGAAAAUGGCAAUAAUAGUUAGUCACACAAUACAAAAUGACAACACAAGCAUUGAGCCAAAAGAACAAGAUCAUAGUAAGUCACAUACGGCAAUGGUCCAUUGAGCCAAGAGAACAUUCCUCCACUAUGGCCGCGGCCAAGGCCAAGAUCACCACUGCCUCCACCAUCACCACUGCCUCCACCAUCACCACGGCCUACACCACCACCGCGGCCUCUACCGCCACCACCACGGCCUAUACCACC